rnacentral:rRNA from 1 species
GAUGAACGCUGGCGGCGUGCCUAAUACAUGCAAGUCGAGCGAAUGGAUUAAGAGCUUGCUCUUAUGAAGUUAGCGGCGGACGGGUGAGUAACACGUGGGUAACCUGCCCAUAAGACUGGGAUAACUCCGGGAAACCGGGGCUAAUACCGGAUAACAUUUUGAACCGCAUGGUUCGAAAUUGAAAGGCGGCUUCGGCGGUCACUUAGGGAUGGACCCGCGUCGCAUUAGCUAGUUGGUGAGGUAACGGCUCACCAAGGCAACGAUGCGUAGCCGACCUGAGAGGGUGAUCGGCCACACUGGGACUGAGACACGGCCCAGACUCCUACGGGAGGCAGCAGUAGGGAAUCUUCCGCAAUGGACGAAAGUCUGACGGAGCAACGCCGCGUGAGUGAUGAAGGCUUUCGGGUCGUAAGACUCUGUUGUUAGGGAAGAACAAGUGCUAGUUGAAUAAGCUGGCACCUUGACGGUACCUAACCAGAAAGCCACGGCUAACUACGUGCCAGCCGCCGCCGUAA